UUCUACGCAUUUUUGAAUUGC
rnacentral:piRNA from 1 species